rnacentral:rRNA from 1 species
AGCGAACGCUAGCGGCGGGCCUAACACAUGCAAGUCGAGCGCGUGGCUUCGGCCACGAGCGGCGGACGGGUGAGUAACACGUAGGUCAUUUACCCUCUGGUGGGGAAGUAACCCGGGAAACCCGACGACUAAUACCGCAUAUGGUCUUCGGAUCAAAGCCUUCGGGCGCCGACGAGGAGUGAGCCUGCGUCCCACUUACCUAGUUGGUAGGGUAACGGCCGUACCAA